UCUGAUAAGACUUGGCAAAAGUGCAAGGCAGAAGCUGAGGCGGAGUGAAGAAAGGCUGCACUCUGGCUUUCCUCCUUUCUUUGAGACCCCCCCCCCCAUCCCCUGUGCAGAAGUGCUGCUUAUUCCAGGGCAGCUGAAAUUGCGCAGGUUUGUGCUGACCAAAUGAGCAGAGUUUAGUUAGCAGCAGGCCGUACCAUUCAUCCUUGCAGAGAAGACUCAGAGGCUGUUGGGCGUUUACCUGUGUCACAUGACAACACCAUAGAGGACAUGAACACACCACCUCAUCCUUGUGGGUCUGUCCGUUUGUGAGUGCAUUGAUUCAGAAAGGAGAGUAAGCCUUUUCCUAGUGGAAUUCAACGAGAUAAUCUGAUAACUACACCAAGCAAAUACUUAAGAGUAACUGCUUAGGAACCGCCAGACUGAUUUCCAGAGUGCCCCAACCGGUAAGAAGGACACAUGCUCCACUAUGUUCAUAGCAGCCUUAUUUAUAAUAGCCAGAAGCUGGAAAGAACCCAGAUGCCCCUCAACAGAGGAAUGGAUACAGAAAAUGUGGUACAUUUACACAAUGGAAUACUACUCAGCUAUUAAAAAAAAGAAUUUAUGAAAUUCCUAGGCAAAUGGAUGGACCUGGAGGGCAUCAUCCUGAGUGAGGUAACCCAAUCACAAAGGAACUCGCACAAUAUGUACUCACUGAUAAGUGGAUAUUAGCCCAGAAACUUAGGAUACCCAAGAUAUAAGAUACAACUUGCUAAACGCAUGAAAUUCAAGAAGAAGGAAGACCAAAGUGUGGACACUUUACCCCUUCCUAGAAAUGGGAACAAAACACCCAUGGAAGGAGUUACAGAGACAAAAUUUGGAGCUGUGACAAAAAGAUGGACCAUCUAGUGAUUGCCAUAUGCAGGGAUCCAUCCCAUAAUCAGCUUCCAAACGCUGACACCAUUGCACACACUAGCAAAAUUUUGCUGAAAGGACCCAGAUAUAGCUUUCUCUUGUGAGACUAUGCCGGGGCCUAGCAAAUACAGAAGUGGAUGAUCACAGUCAGCUAUUGGAUGGAUCACAGGGCCCCCAAUGGAGGAGCUAGAGAAAGUACCCAAGGAGCUAAAGGGAUCUGCAACCC